rnacentral:lncRNA from 1 species
AGAAAACUUCUGGAAUACUUAAUUAUGGUUAUAGAAUAGUAUGUUAUGUAAAUGUUCUCAAUGUUCACAUUGUGUGCUGAAAUGCCCUGUGUGGUGAAGGUGGUAGUAAUAUGAAGGAGUGGUCAAAGGAAGUGCUAAUGUUAUCUUAUGACAUGAAGAACCGAGAGACAUUAUUUUUAUUGGAUGGAUGUUGAAGUAAAACCAUAUGUUACUAUAAAUAACAAAGAAUGUGACUGUGUUUGGAGUGGGGCCUUCGAAGAGGACGUUUAAAUGAAAUCAUUACAGUAGGCCUAAAAUCAAUAUGACUGGUGUUCCUAUAAGGAGAAGAGAUUAAGUUGCACACAGAGGGAAGACCAUGAGCAGACAUGGGGAGAAGACGGCCCCCUACAAGCCAAGAAGAAAGACUUCAGAGGAAUCAACCCUGCUAAAAUCUUGAUCUUGGACUUCAAGACACCAGAAAUGAGAAAAUAACUUUCUGUUGUGUAAGCCACCCCAGCUGUGGUACUUUGUUAUGGCAGUCCUAGGAAACUAUGCACCACAGGCUCUCUCACAUGUCUUUUACAAAGGCACUAAUCCUAUUCAUGAGGGUUCUGACCUCAUGACUUAAUCACCUCCCCAAAGGCCUCACCUCCUAGUAGUAUCCCACUAAAGAUUAGGUUCCAACAUCCAAAUUUGCAGGGAGGAGGGGACACCAACAUUUGGAUGAUAGCACAAGUGGUAGACAAAGCUUGGAAACAGUUAUAUUGGGAAAUGACUUUCUUAAUGUUUACACUUCAUAAUAUGCUCUUCUCAGAAACCAAAAAUGUGAGUGUCGAUGAGGGCUUUGGCUCAUGGUCAAGGACAGAAAGAAUGAGAAAAAAAUGGCUUGAAGAUAUGUUUCUAAGGUCAAGCCAGCAGACCUGGUUAAUUAAUACAAUGCGUAGGUGAGAGGAGAAGAAACACGGAUGAGCCUAAGCUUAAGCUUUCUGAAGCUGAAUAAAUGGAGAUGGAGUUGCCUGGGAAAGGAGCAGGAUUUCAAAUACCAGAAGACAAUGAGAUAGAGAGGAGCAAGAAAAGUUAGCCGUGGAAAGACACAGUGCAAUGCAUUCCACUCGUGUAUCUGAAAACAGAGAACCCAUGAACGAUAAGACAAUAAACUUGAGUGGAGGGAAGGACAAUAAUCCUGUUCCCUUGCUUCUCAGAAUACAAGAUAAAAUGGUUAAAAUCCCUGAAUGAAUUACGUUUCAUUGGAAAAUGUGCAGUUGUCCCUUCGGUUCUUG